GUGCUCGCUUUGGAAGCACAUAUACUGAAAUUAGAAUGAUACAGAGAAGAUUAGCGUGGCCCCUGUGCAAGAAUAUCAUGCAAAUUCAUGGAGAGUUCCAUUUUUUA